GCGGGCAAGGAUUUUCCGGAAGGAAUUUGAAAUUCUUUCUUUCAUUUAGUUAAUGAUGCCUGCU
rnacentral:tRNA from 2 species